CUUGAUGAACGCUAGCUACAGGCUUAACACAUGCAAGUCGAGGGGCAGCAUGGUCUUAGCUUGCUAAGGCCGAUGGCGACCGGCGCACGGGUGAGUAACACGUAUCCAACCUGCCGUCUACUCUUGGACAGCCUUCUGAAAGGAAGAUUAAUACAAGAUGGCAUCAUGAGUCCGCAUGUUCACAUGAUUAAAGGUAUUCCGGUAGACGAUGGGGAUGCGUUCCAUUAGAUAGUAGGCGGGGUAACGGCCCACCUAGUCUUCGAUGGAUAGGGGUUCUGAGAGGAAGGUCCCCCACAUUGGAACUGAGACACGGUCCAAACUCCUACGGGAGGCAGCAGUGAGGAAUAUUGGUCAAUGGGCGAGAGCCUGAACCAGCCAAGUAGCGUGAAGGAUGACUGCCCUAUGGGUUGUAAACUUCUUUUAUAAAGGAAUAAAGUCGGGUAUGGAUACCCGUUUGCAUGUACUUUAUGAAUAAGGAUCGGCUAACUCCGUGCCAGCAGCCGCGGUAAUACGGAGGAUCCGAGCGUUAUCCGGAUUUAUUGGGUUUAAAGGGAGCGUAGAUGGAUGUUUAAGUCAGUUGUGAAAGUUUGCGGCUCAACCGUAAAAUUGCAGUUGAUACUGGAUAUCUUGAGUGCAGUUGAGGCAGGCGGAAUUCGUGGUGUAGCGGUGAAAUGCUUAGAUAUCACGAAGAACUCCGAUUGCGAAGGCAGCCUGCUAAGCUGCAACUGACAUUGAGGCUCGAAAGUGUGGGUAUCAAACAGGAUUAGAUACCCUGGUAGUCCACACGGUAAACGAUGAAUACUCGCUGUUUGCGAUAUACUGCAAGCGGCCAAGCGAAAGCGUUAAGUAUUCCACCUGGGGAGUACGCCGGCAACGGUGAAACUCAAAGGAAUUGACGGGGGCCCGCACAAGCGGAGGAACAUGUGGUUUAAUUCGAUGAUACGCGAGGAACCUUACCCGGGCUUAAAUUGCAGAUGAAUUACGGUGAAAGCCGUAAGCCGCAAGGCAUCUGUGAAGGUGCUGCAUGGUUGUCGUCAGCUCGUGCCGUGAGGUGUCGGCUUAAGUGCCAUAACGAGCGCAACCCUUGUUGUCAGUUACUAACAGGUUCCGCUGAGGACUCUGACAAGACUGCCAUCGUAAGAUGUGAGGAAGGUGGGGAUGACGUCAAAUCAGCACGGCCCUUACGUCCGGGGCCACACACGUGUUACAAUGGGGGGUACAGAGGGCCGCUACCACGCGAGUGGAUGCCAAUCCCCAAAACCUCUCUCAGUUCGGACUGGAGUCUGCAACCCGACUCCACGAAGCUGGAUUCGCUAGUAAUCGCGCAUCAGCCACGGCGCGGUGAAUACGUUCCCGGGCCUUGUACACACCGCCCGUCAAGCCAUGGGAGCCGGGGGUACCUGAAGUGCGUAACCGCGAGGAGCGCCCUAGGGUAAAAC
rnacentral:rRNA from 1 species